CCCCUUUGUGGUGGAUGAUUGAAGAUCUUUGAUGGUUUUACUUUACCUAGUAGAACAAUUACAUUAGUUUUCUACAUUGAUUUAACUAUAGAGAUAUUUUUAGGGCGAAGUUGUGGAAUUGAUUCCAGUGGAUGCAUACAUGGAGCUGUCUUCAUGAUGCUAUUGGAGCUUUUAGUAGCUUGCGACAUCUUUCAAAAAUGUUGAAGCGAUGGCUGUCGUUAGUUUCCAAGUGUGUCCUCACUUUGAGCAAAAUUUCAGGAUUCAAAAGAUCCAAAUCAUUUAGUACUACUAGCUCCCACCAAGCUCAAAAAGCUAUUAUUGAGGUAUCUCUGGAAUAUCGAGAAGAUUUUUCAAGGCUUCAGGUGCUGAAUCAGGCGAGUUAGAAAUUAUUAAGUUAAUAUCCAAAAUCCAUUCCUUGGGCUUUGAGAACACAGGCUUGCGUUGGAAGUAAUGGCUACUCUUUACAAAUUUAUUUGAUGAGCAUUUUUUGUGCUAUGAAUUAUGAUUGUGAUGUUUUUGAUGCGUCAAAAAUUGUCUUUUGAUUUGAUUACUCAUCUUGUCAUUUAUUUCUUAGAAAAUCUUGAUCAUAUUCUCAUUUCAUUCAGAUCUACUUUUAAAAAUCGUAGGGGAA